AACGAACGCUGGCGGCAUGCCUAACACAUGCAAGUCGAACGAAACCUUCGGGCCUAGUGGCGCACCGGUGCGUAACGCGUGGGAACCUGCCCUUAAGUUCGGAAUAACUCCCCUUAAGGGAUGCUAAUACCGGAUAAUCUAUUAGGACCAAAGAUUUAUGGCCUUUGGAUGGGCCCGCGUUGGAUUCGCUAGUUGGUAGGGUAAAAGCCUACCAAGGCGACGAUGCAUAGCUGGUCUGAGAGGAUGAUCAGGCACACUGGGACUGAGACACGGCCCAGACUGCUACGGGAGGCAGCAGUGGGGAAUAUUAGGCGAGGGGCGAAAGCGUGAUACAGCAAUGCGGGGUGAGUGAUGAAGGCCGUAGGGUUGUAAAGUUCUUUUACACGGGAUGAUAAUGACAGUACCGGGAGAAUAAGCUCCGGCUAACUCCGUG
rnacentral:rRNA from 1 species